rnacentral:rRNA from 1 species
AGCGGAGGAAAAGAAACCAACAGGGAUUGCCCUAGUAACGGCGAGUGAAGCGGCAACAGCUCAAAUUUGAAAGCUGGCCUUCGGGUCCGCAUUGUAAUUUGUAGAGGAUGCUUUGGGUGAAACGCCAGUCUAAGUUCCUUGGAACAGGACGUCAUAGAGGGUGAGAAUCCCGUAUGUGACUGGAAAUGUUAACCUAUGUAAAGCUCCUUCGACGAGUCGAGUUGUUUGGGAAUGCAGCUCUAAAUGGGAGGUAAAUUUCUUCUAAAGCUAAAUAUUGGCGAGAGACCGAUAGCGCACAAGUAGAGUGAUCGAAAGAUGAAAAGCACUUUGGAAAGAGAGUUAAAAAGCACGUGAAAUUGUUGAAAGGGAAGCGCUUGCAAUCAGACUUGUUUAAACUGUUCGGRCGGUCUUCUGACCGGUUUACUCAGUUUGGACAGGCCAGCAUCAGUUUCGGCGGCCGGAUAAAGGCUCUGGGAAUGUGGCCUUCACUUCGGUGAAGGUGUUAUAGCCCAGGGUGUAAUACGGCCAGCCGGGACUGAGGUCCGCGCCUUCGGCUAGGAUG